rnacentral:rRNA from 1 species
GUGGGGAAUCUUGCGCAAUGGGCGAAAGCCUGACGCAGCCAUGCCGCGUGAAUGAUGAAGGUCUUAGGAUUGUAAAAUUCUUUCACCGGGGACGAUAAUGACGGUACCCGGAGAAGAAGCUCCGGCUAACUUCGUGCCAGCAGCCGCGGUAAUACGAAGGGGGCUAGCGUUGCUCGGAAUUACUGGGCGUAAAGGGCGCGUAGGCGGACAGCUUAGUCAGAGGUGAAAGCCCAGGGCUCAACCGUGGAAUUGCCUUUGAUACUGGCUGUCUUGAGUUUGGGAGAGGUGAGUGGAACUCCGAGUGUAGAGGUGAAAUUCGUAGAUAUUCGGAAGAACACCAGUGGCGAAGGCGACUCACUGGCCCGUUACUGACGCUGAGGCGCGAAAGCGUGGGGAGCAAACAGGAUUAGAAACCCGGGUAGUCC